rnacentral:piRNA from 1 species
GAUGAGCAGAGUGACCCGACCUUGUC